UGGUCAAGUUAUUAAGGGUGCAGGGCGGAUGCUUUGGCACUAGGAGCCGAUGAAGGACGUGAUAAGCUGCGAGAAGCUUCGGGGAGUGGCAGCACGACUUUGAUCCGAAGAUUUCCGAAUGAGGAAACUCACUUAGAGUAAUGUCUAAGUAUCAUUAAGUGAAUACAUAGCUUAAUGAGGGGAACUCAGGGAACUGAAACAUCUAAGUACCUGAAGGAAGAGAAAGAAAUUCGAUUCCGUAAGUAGCGGCGAGCGAAC
rnacentral:rRNA from 1 species